rnacentral:rRNA from 1 species
CUUCGGGGGACGAUAACGGCGUCGAGCGGCGGACGGGUGAGUAAUGCCUAGGAAAUUGCCCUGAUGUGGGGGAUAACCAUUGGAAACGAUGGCUAAUACCGCAUGAUGCCUACGGGCCAAAGAGGGGGACCUUCGGGCCUCUCGCGUCAGGAUAUGCCUAGGUGGGAUUAGCUAGUUGGUGAGGUAAGGGCUCACCAAGGCGACGAUCCCUAGCUGGUCUGAGAGGAUGAUCAGCCACACUGGAACUGAGACACGGUCCAGACUCCUACGGGAGGCAGCAGUGGGGAAUAUUGCACAAUGGGCGCAAGCCUGAUGCAGCCAUGCCGCGUGUGUGAAGAAGGCCUUCGGGUUGUAAAGCACUUUCAGUCGUGAGGAAGGUAGUGUAGUUAAUAGCUGCAUUAUUUGACGUUAGCGACAGAAGAAGCACCGGCUAACUCCGUGCCAGCAGCCGCGGUAAUACGGAGGGUGCGAGCGUUAAUCGGAAUUACUGGGCGUAAAG